rnacentral:rRNA from 1 species
UACGUAGGGGGCUAGCGUUGUCCGGAAUCAUUGGGCGUAAAGCGCGUGUAGGCGGUCCGGUAAGUCCGCUGUGAAAGUCGAGGGCUCAACCCUCGAAUGCCGGUGGAUACUGUCGGGCUAGAGUGCGGAAGAGGCGAGUGGAAUUCCUGGUGUAGCGGUGAAAUGCGCAGAUAUCAGGAGGAACACCGGUGGCGAAGGCGGAUCUCUGGGCCAUUACUGACGCUGAUGAGCGAAAGCCAGGGGAGCAAACGGG